UACGUAGGGGCAAGCGUUGUCCGGAAUCAUUGGGCGUAAAGCGCGUGUAGGCGGCCGCAUAGUCUGGUGUGAAAUCUCGGGGCUCAACCCCGAGCUGUCGACUGGAUACUGGCGGGCUUGAAGUCCGGAAGAGGAGUGUGGAAUUCCUGGAUGUAGCGGUGGAAUGCGCAGAUAUCAGGAGGAACACCGAUGGCGAAGGCAGCACUGUGGUACGUGA
rnacentral:rRNA from 1 species